rnacentral:rRNA from 1 species
CGUUCCCGGGCCUUGUACACACCGCCCGUCACACCACGAAAGCUUGGAACACCCGAAGCCGGUGGCCUAACCCGCAAGGGAGGGAGUCGUCGAAGGUGGGCUGGGUGAUUGGGGUG